rnacentral:rRNA from 1 species
UACGUAGGGUGCGAGCGUUGUCCGGAAUUAUUGGGCGUAAAGAGCUCGUAGGCGGCUUGUCGCGUCUGAUGUGAAAGCCCGGGGCUUAACUCCGGGUCUGCAUUCGAUACGGGCAGGCUAGAGUUCGGUAGGGGAGAUCGGAAUUCCUGGUGUAGCGGUGAAAUGCGCAGAUAUCAGGAGGAACACCGGUGGCGAAGGCGGAUCUCUGGGCCGAUACUGACGCUGAGGAGCGAAAGCGUGGGGAGCAAACAGG